CCUACGGGAGGCAGCAGUGAGGAAUAUUGGUCAAUGGACGAGAGUCUGAACCAGCCAAGUAGCGUGAAGGAUGACUGCCCUAUGGGUUGUAAACUUCUUUUAUAUGGGAAUAAAAUGUUCCACGUGUGGGAUUUUGUAUGUACCAUAUAAAUAAGGAUCGGCUAACUCCGUGCCAGCAGCCGCGGUAAUACGGAGGAUCCGAGCGUUAUCCGGAUUUAUUGGGUUUAAAGGGAGCGUAGGUGGUUUGUUAAGUCAGUUGUGAAAGUUUGCGGCUCAACCGUAAAAUUGCAGUUGAAACUGGCAGUCUUGAGUACAGUAGAGGUGGGCGGAAUUCGUGGUGUAGCGGUGAAAUGCUUAGAUAUCACGAAGAACUCCGAUUGCGAAGGCAGUUCACUGGACUGCAACUGACACUGAGGCUCGAAAGUGUGGGUAUCAAACAGGAUUAGAUACCCCAGUAGUC
rnacentral:rRNA from 1 species